CGCCUAGUCCGAGGCUCCGGUUCAUCACCGGGGUCUGGUGCAAGAGGGA
rfam:Streptomyces tsukubensis NRRL18488 Contig617, whole genome shotgun sequence.